AUGGCCCACGCCUCUGGAUUCACCUUCCGUAGCUACGGAAUGAACUGGGUCCGCCAGGCUCCAGGGAAGGGGCUGGAGUGGGUCUCACCCAUUAGUACUGGUGGUGGUAGCACUUACUACGCCGACUCUGUGAAGGGCCGCUUCACCAUCUCCAGGGACAAUGGCAAGAACAUGCUUAUAAGCAGCUGGCUUAUGGGGGCUGCAGAGCAAAUUUUACAGGGUGUCCAGUGUGAGGAGCAGCUGGUGGAGUCUGGGGGAGGCCUGGUGCAGCCUGGGGGGUCUCUGAGACUCUCCUGUGCAGCCUCUGGAUUCACCUUCAGUAGCUACAACAUGAACUGGGUCCGCCAGGCUCCAGGGAAGGGGCUGGAGUGGGUCGCACUCAUUAGUAAUGGUGGUAGCACAUACUACGCCAACUCUGUGAAGGGCCGCUUCACCAUCUCCAAAGACAACGGCAAGAACUCGCUGUAUCUGCAAAUGAGCAGCCUGAGAGCCGAGGACACGGCCGUGUAUUACUGUGCUAGCUACGACAUGAACUGGGUCCACCAGGCUCCAGGGAAGGGGCUGGAGUGGGUUGCAUACAUUACCAGUGGUAGUAGCACAUACUACGCCAACUCUGUGAAGGGCCGCUUCACCAUCUCCAGAGAAAAUGCCAAGAACUAG